UACAGAGGUCUCAAGCGUUGUUCGGAUUCACUGGGCGUAAAGGGUGCGUAGGUGGCGAUGAAAGUUCGAUGUGAAAUCUCCGGGCUUAACCCGGAAAAGGCAUUGAAAACUAUGUUGCUUGAGGUUUGGAGGGGGGACUGGAAUUCUUGGUGUAGCAGUGAAAUGCGUAGAUAUCAAGAGGAACACCAGUGGCGAAGGCGGGUCCCUGGACAACACCUGACACUGAGGCACGAAAGCUAGGGGAGCAAACAGG
rnacentral:rRNA from 1 species